CACCCAUGCAUGCGUGCAUGCAGCUUGGCGUGCGGAGAGAGAUGGUUCUUCCGUGGAGGUUGGACACAGCAGUUUAGAUCUGGGGAAUCAGCUACAUCUCAAGAAGUGUCCCCAGAGGCUUGAAGGGUUGAGAAGCAAUGGACUCAGAUCUAAGGCGGUUGGUCACUUCAUAUGUUCUCAGGGUGACUCCAAAGAUGUCUUCAUGGUACCGGUUGUCAUCCUGCAGACACACAGCCAGGGGAUGGAUCAAAUGGCAGAUACGACCCCAGUUGUAAGGGCAGAAAGCGCCCCCUGAAUUAUGGCACCGCUUGGCUGAGGGGAAAACUUCUGGACCCUGGCUGCCAGCUGUCGCUCACCCUCAGUCUGCUGAUGAACACACCAGCAUCCUCCUCGG